UAAGGAAUAUUGGACAAUGGCCGCAAGGCUGAUCCAGCCAUGCCGCGUGCAGGAUGAAGGUGCUCUGCAUUGUAAACUGCUUUUGUUCGGGAAUAAACCCUUUCACGUGUGAGAGGUUGAAUGUACCGAAAGAAUAAGGGACGGCUAACUUCGUGCCAGCAGCCGCGGUAAUACGAAGGUCCCAAGCGUUAUCCGGAUUUAUUGGGUUUAAAGGGUGCGUAGGCGGGUUAUUAAGUCAGUGGUGAAAGCU
rnacentral:rRNA from 1 species